rnacentral:rRNA from 1 species
UAAUACGAGUGGUGCAAGCGUUAUUCGGAAUCAUUGGGCGUAAAGGGUGUGUAGACGGCCUGCUAAGUCAACUGUUAAAUUCCCCGGCCUAACCGGGGUCCAGCAGUAGAUACUGGCGAGCUAGAGGGUGGAAGAGAGAGGCGGAAUUCUCGGAGUAGCGGUAAAAUGCGUAGAUCUCGAGAGGAACACCAAUGGCGAAGGCAGCCUCUUGGUCCACAUCUGACGUUGAGACACGAAAGCGUGGGGAGCAAACAGGAUUAGAUACCCUGGUAGUCCACGCUGUAAACGAUGAUCACUGGACGUUAGUUCUGUUUUUACGGAAUUAGUGUCGUAGCUAACGCGUUAAGUGAUCCGCCUGGGAAUUACGGUCGCAAGAUUA